CACACACACCAACAACACUGACAACAGAAAACAAGCAUGGCGAUGCUAACAGCCUAGCAUACUGAGACAGAGACUCAGAGAUGACAGACAGAACUGACAGUUGGGAGGACUGAGAAGUGGAGGGUUAGAUAACAGCAGUCACCAGUCAGUUCUGCAGGUCCCUCUCACCCAUGAGGGUCAGAGGUCGGGGCAUGGGGCACACUUUAGUAUUCAUGUCUGGAGUCAUCCAUGCUGGGGGCAACCAAAGCCCGUUAGGGUCAGUGGGGUUAGGGUUAGUAGGGUCAGUAGGGUUAGGGUCAGUAGGGUUAGGGUCAGUAGGGUUAGGGUUAGUAGGGUUAGGGUUAGUAGGGUCAGUAGGGUCAGUAGGGUUAGGGUCAGUAGGGUCAGUAGGGUUAGGGUCAGUGGGGUUAGGGUUAGUAGGGUUAGGGUUAGUAGGGUUAGUAGGGUCAGGGUCAGUAGGGUCAGGGUCAGUAGGGUUAGGGUUAGUAGGGUCAGUAGGGUUAGGGUCAGAAGGGUCAGUAGGGUUAGGGUUAGUAGGGUCAGUAGGGUUAGGGUCAGUGGGGUUAGGGUUAGUAGGGUUAGGGUUAGUAGGGUCAGUAGGGUUAGGGUUAGUAGGGUCAGUAGGGUUAGGGUCAGAAGGGUCAGUAGGGUUAGGGUCAGAAGGGUUAGGGUCAGUAGGGUUAGGGUUAGUAGGGUUAGGGUCAGUGGGGUUAGGGUUAGUAGGGUCAGUAGGGUUAGGGUUAGUAGGGUCAGUGGGGUUAGGGUCAGAAGGGUCAGUAGGGUUAGGGUCAGAAGGGUUAGGGUCAGUAGGGUUAGGGUCAGUAGGGUCAGGAGGGUUAGUAGAGUUAGCCAAGUUUGUCUCUACGAUUGCUUGUGUUUUAUGCAGAACUGUAGCUCACACACACACACACACACACAUAUAUAUGUAUAUAUAUAUGUGUGUAGUUGUACUUCCAUCAUCUGUGAUUCCAAAUUUUGUAAUAUCUCAAUGUCCACAUCAAAAUCUGGUAUAGCAUUAGUUUCUUCACCUUUUAAGACAAGAAUAAUUAAUAUUUGCCCAGACAAAAGCAAGCAAAUAUUACCUGUUAAUACUCAGGCCUGUUUCAGUCCAACCCCAGA
rnacentral:lncRNA from 1 species